rnacentral:rRNA from 1 species
UACGGGGGGAGCAAGCGUUGUUCGGAAUUAUUGGGCGUAAAGCGCGCGCAGGCGGUUUCUUAAGUCUGAUGUGAAAGCCCACGGCUCAACCGUGGAGGGUCAUUGGAAACUGGGGAACUUGAGUGCAGAAGAGAAAAGCGGAAUUCCACGUGUAGCGGUGAAAUGCGUAGAGAUGUGGAGGAACACCAGUGGCGAAGGCGGCUUUUUGGUCUGUAACUGACGCUGAGGCGCGAAAGCGUGGGGAGCAAACAGG